GUGAAUCAUCGAAUUUUUGAACGCAAAUUGCACUCUCUUCGGUGAGUAUGACUGUUUGAGGGUCAGCCUAUAAAAAUCGACAUCGUUGCUGUUUCACGGUGGCGUUCGUCGGAAAUUGGGUCAUCUUACAUCCUUUUGAUUUAUGCGACUUAAAAUUUUCCUUUGGUUCCAUGAACGUUUCUAAGAUAUAUUUCUUUAUACGUUUAAGUAAUCGUUAUUCACUAGACGUGACCAUUAUAACG
rnacentral:misc_RNA from 1 species